AUUGAACGCUGGCGGCAUGCUUUACACAUGCUAGUCGAACGGCAGCGCGGGCUUUGGCCUGGCGGCGAGUGGCGAACGGGUGAGUAAUACAUCGGAACGUGCCCAGUAGUGGGGGAUAGCUCGGCGAAAGCCGGAUUAAUACCGCAUACGACCUGAGGGUGAAAGCGGGGGAUCUUCGGACCUCGCGCUAUUGGAGCGGCCGAUGGCGGAUUAGCUAGUUGGUGGGGUAAAGGCCUACCAAGGCGACGAUCUGUAGCUGGUCUGAGAGGACGACCAGCCACACUGGGACUGAGACACGGCCCAGACUCCUACGGGAGGCAGCAGUGGGGAAUUUUGGACAAUGGGCGAAAGCCUGAUCCAGCAAUGCCGCGUGUGUGAUGAAGGCCUUCGGGUUGUAAAGCACUUUUGGCGGGAACGAAAAGGACUGUGCCAAUACCACGGUUCGAUGACGGUACCCGCAGAAUAAGCACCGGCUAACUACGUG
rnacentral:rRNA from 1 species